rnacentral:lncRNA from 1 species
ACUCCUAUUGACCCCCUGGCAUAUUUAUAGCCUCUCUCUUUCUGCUGAGACUGGUAGUUUUCACCUUCCCUUCCCUGUGUUGUGUUUAUUCAGCAGCACGCUAAAUCACACCCGGGCACAAGUGGAGCAUUCAUCAGGAACCACGAGCCCCUCUUUCAGUCUGCCAAACCUAUCCAAUUACUGGGGCUGGAAGAGCCUGCACAAACCCUUCUGCCAGGCAAAUGAACCUUCUUGCUGUGAUUCAUAAACAUGGCUGUACCUCUAAAUAGACUGGGACUUCCUUUUGUUAAGAAGCCAAAUAAGAUAUCAUUUACAUCAAAAAUGAAAAAAUAAGGGGGCAUCUACUUUCUAUAAUAACGACCUGGGAAACUCAGACCAUCCUUCCUUCUGAGGACGCUGAAAAAAACUGAAUCCAAGAACUAACAACAUAUUAAGGAACUGCCAGGUGGUGACCCAGCAUGCUAAGAACACAGCAAGGAAUUCGAAGUUGUUUUAACAUUAGAAAAUCAACUGAUGUGAUUCAGCACAUUUACUGAAUAUUAUGAUGACCUGGGCAGAGUCA